AAAAAAAAAUCUACACACACGGCUCACGACUCCAACCACACACCCGUCCCCAUCCCAAUGACCUAAGCCACAUCCAUCCAUGGGGCCGUGUCUUCAUUCCUCGCCGUCCGUCCGCCGCCGCCGCCGCCGCAUCCAGACCCCGCCAUCCGGCGCCGCGUCCGUAUUCCCCGGCCCAGCGCCGCAUUCAGACCCCGCGUCCGCAUUCCUGCUGGCCUCCCCUCUGCGGCGCUUUGCUCUGGCCUCGCCGACGCAACCCGCAUCUCCAGUCUCCCCUCGGCGGCGCCAUGCUCUGGACUCGUCGAUGCUUCGCGCACCUCCGGCCUCCCCUCCUCAGCACCCUUCUUCGACCUCCCUCCCCAACGCGGUCCACACCAGCAACCUCCCUUCCUCCCCCUUCAGCAGCUCCCUUGAGGUGAAUCAAUCACGGGAUGAAUGGAGUCGCGCCGUCGGCCAUGGCGGCAGGGGCAGCCUAGAAGACCUCAAACCUGCUGGCUCCUCUCCCUGAUGGGCAAGUUCUCAGUUCCUCAAAUACCUUCUGAAGCAUUGGUCAGAGCUGCCACCUUAUAAGCUGAUUGUGACAUAUGGGGCGCAUUCUUACAAGAAUUACAAGGGUGACCAGUGCACCAUGUCUUCUUGGAGCUGGGACAUCCGUGGAGAGAGGCAGAUGGUCAUAUUUGAUAUAAGAGCUAAAAUAGCAAAUAAAUUAGUACGCGGACUUCUAAAAAUUAUGCAAAGAACAAAAGAACCAAACAAUGUCCUCCGUCGAAGAGCACAAGAAGCAAAGGGAGGUCGUGAACCUUGUUGUGCAACUACAUGUUAUUUUGUGGAGCACUAUGCAGACCAGAACCUUGCUGUGUAGUUGUGUAGCUGCUGCAACUACAUGUUAUUUUGUCGAGCACCAUGCAUAUGUGAGAACCUUGCUGUGUAACUGCUGCAACUGCAUGUUAUUUUGUGGAACACCAUGCAUAUGUAUGUGAGAACCUUGCCGUGUAACUGCUGUAACUACUUGUUUUUUUAUGCAUAUGUGAACGUGUUGUGUAGCUGAUGCAACUAUCUUAUUGUACUA